UGAGGAAUAUUGGUCAAUGGGCGAGAGCCUGAACCAGCCAAGUAGCGUGAAGGAUGACUGCCCUAUGGGUUGUAAACUUCUUUUAUAAAGGAAUAAAGUCGGGUAUGGAUACCCGUUUGCAUGUACUUUAUGAAUAAGGAUCGGCUAACUCCGUGCCAGCAGCCGCGGUAAUACGGAGGAUCCGAGCGUUAUCCGGAUUUAUUGGGUUUAAAGGGAGCGUAGAUGGAUGUUUAAGUCAGUUGUGAAAGUUUGCGGCUCAACCGUAAAAUUGCAGUUGAUACUGGAUAUCUUGAGUGCAGUUGAGGCAGGCGGAAUUCGUGGUGUAGCGGUGAAAUGCUUAGAUAUCACGAAGAACUCCGAUUGCGAAGGCAGCCUGCUAAGCUGCAACUGACAUUGAGGCUCGAAAGCGUGGGUAUCAAACAGGAUUAGAUACCCUGGUAGUCCACACGGUAAACGAUGAAUACUCGCUGUUUGCGAUAUACUGCAAGCGGCCAAGCGAAAGCGUUAAGUAUUCCACCUGGGGAGUACGCCGGCAACGGUGAAACUCAAAGGAAUUGACGGGGGCCCGCACAAGCGGAGGAACAUGUGGUUUAAUUCGAUGAUACGCGAGGAACCUUACCCGGGCUUGAAUUGCAACUGAAUGAUGUGGAGACAUGUCAGCCGCAAGGCAGUUGUGAAGGUGCUGCAUGGUUGUCGUCAGCUCGUGCCGUGAGGUGUCGGCUUAAGUGCCAUAACGAGCGCAACCCUUAUCGAUAGUUACCAUCAGGUUAUGCUGGGGACUCUGUCGAGACUGCCGUCGUAAGAUGUGAGGAAGGUGGGGAUGACGUCAAAUCAGCACGGCCCUUACGUCCGGGGCUACACACGUGUUACAAUGGGGGGUACAGAAGGCAGCUACACGGCGACGUGAUGCUAAUCCCGAAAGCCUCUCUCAGUUCGGAUUGGAGUCUGCAACCCGACUCCAUGAAGCUGGAUUCGCUAGUAAUCGCGCAUCAGCCACGGCGCGGUGAAUACGUUCCC
rnacentral:rRNA from 1 species